CUGGGAACUUCCAUGUGCUGCAGGUGUGGCUAUAAAAAGCCAAAAGAAAAUUGAUAUUUUGCUCAUCAUGGAUACUUUAAUUUUUAUUUUUGAACAACUGCAUCUUAAUUACUGAGGCUUUUACUCUCCCACCUUAAAUUUUGUACCCGAGGCUGGUGCUCAUCUUGUCCUCCCCCCAGUCCCAGCUCAGCUUUGCACCAGGAGGAAACAAAGCAAUGACAUUAGGUGAGUACAUAAUUAAGCAUAGGUUUGUUUUUUGGCAUCCAGAAUAUCCAUAGUUCAAUCAUUAAAAUGUAUGUCCUAGUCUUUCCUUCCUGCAAAAGCCCCUGUCACUUCUCAGCAGCCUCUUAGUACCUAGAAGGCUGGGUCGUGCCCUAUUUCAGCCUGUACCCAGCACAGCCGGUCCGGGCAGGUGCUCAGAACACGUUCAGUCAAAGGAGACAAGACAGAAACCUCUCAGAAGCGUCCGAUGCUCUUAGGGUCAGUUAUCUAGGACUCGGCCGCUAUGGAAGGAAGUUUUUUUAGAGCGUCUGUAAACAUGCCCUCCUCCCUCACGCCGUAGGUAGGGUGGCGCACGCACGCUGCUUGCACUUGUCCUGCUGACAAUUAAAAUAACAAGUUUCUUUGAUUUGAUUUGUAUUUUGUUGAUUCUUUUAUUUUGGUUUCUCCCUGGAGCUGAAGGUCUCCACCCCUGGAGAAUCUGGUGCACUGUUCCGGCCAGAAGUGGGAAAAAGAGCUGCAGUGUUAAGCCUGGGACUUGGGUGGUCCAGUAUCUCAGAGACGGAGAGGAAUGGGCCGAGGGGGAGGGGAGAGGAGCAGAGGUCAGAGGUCACAAGUGGGGGCGGCAAGGGUCUCCCUUCUUCUAGACCAUUUCCUAGAUUGUUCCCUUUGCCAUUGCCUUGAAGAGCCAGCCUUGGGGAGUUCCCUGGUGGUCUAGUGGUUAGGAUUUGGCACUUCCACUGCUGCGGCCCCGAUUCAACCCCUGGUCUGGGAACUGAGAUGCUACAUCAAGCCACUGUGUGCUGUAACCUGGGAAACUGCCUAGAAGCAUUGAUGGCUGCUGACCCCAGAAGGCACACCAGCUGCCCAGCACACACCUUGGGCAUGUCAGGAGCAUGGUUGCCUGGGCUGCGGUGAGAAUGUGCUGCCUGGUGGCAGCAGUGACACCUGGCACUGAGGGCCCUGUUGGUCAGUCUGUCUGGGGUGCCGCCUAGGGCUGCUAAGAAAUGCUCAAGGGCCACGGCACAAGCAGCCAGGACCCUGUGAGAAUAGUGUGCGCGGCUCUUCUUCAUGAGGCCAUUUCUGCCCUUGAGUUUCCUUGUGCAGGAGGAAGCAGACAUUCAGCGAUGCGAAGUGAUCUCCCCAGAAUCUCUGUAGCGGAUGUCUGUUUUUACAAUCCCCACCCUCUUCUACUGACCACACCAAAAUUUUCCUCUUGGAAACCAUGCGUCUUCCGCUCCGAGUCUAUGAAGUGUGAAUCAUCCUGACUCCAUCCUCAGCCCCAAGGAUGGGCAUGAAAAUCCUCUUGGCCACCCUGAGCAGGACAUCCUUCUGGCACCAGCUUCUCCUUCACUUUUUGAGGCUCAAAUUGGAUCAGUCGCAGAAUCUCCUUAUUGGCCAUGGUCCCCUCGAUGAACUCUUUCUCUGCACCUUGGCCAUUGAAGUUCAAAGCCCCUGUCUGACGCCCCCUCCUUUCCUGUGUCCUUCUGGAGUUGGACAUGGGCAUCAUGCACCUGCAGCCUCUGAGGCCCAGUCCUGGGAUCAGUCACCUCUUUGAGUCGCCAACCGGGGCCAGAAAGUCAAGUCAGGCCCGCUCCUGGAAGAAGGGGCUUGAGGACACCCCCCUCAGCUUUGCCAGACUCUCUCAGCCCAGCACUAGAGUCUAAGACUUCUCUUCUCCAACCCGCCUUCAUGCCAGCCGCCUCCAGAUCUCCCCCCCCCGCCCCGUCUUCCCCACCCCAUCAAUCUCUCGCAAUCUAAUUUCAAUCUAAUCCCACCUGGCGCUGCUUCUUGAGGGGCCCAAACUAAUUUCCUAAAGAAAAACCCUAUAAAUUUAGAUCCCAUUUAGUGGAACAUGAUGCUAAUUCAGCUGCUGACUGACCUGAGCUUUGUCCUAUCCCAACUGUGCACAAGGCAUUUUGAUAAACCAGUAAUGUGCACUCAUUUAAAAGAAAAUGGUUUGCUUGCGAAACCGCUGAACUUAGCAUUUUCAUGCACACCGCUAAAGAGCGGCUGCCUUGACUUUUUUACUAUUCCCACAAUGUGGGUUAACUCUCCUAACAAAAGAGGUUCCUUCUUCAAAGGCACGCCCUCAUUUAGAGCCUACCUUCUCCCCGAGAUUGGCAGAGAUGGAGUUUUUGUUUUGGCUUUUUGGCCACGUCUGUGGUAUGCGGAAGUCCCCAGGCCGGGCAUGGAACCCGAGCCACAGCAGUGGCGACUUAACCUCUAUGACACCAGGGGGCUCCAGCGAUGGAGUUUUAUCAACCGUGGGACAUGGGGCCGUUUCCCAUUAGCCGGAGGAGGGUCACACAACUGCCUGCUGGCCGUUCCGUGCACUGCCCCCACUCCCAGAUGGCCUAGACAUCCCUGCAGUGGGAGGUGUCCCCUGUCCUGCCUGGACUUUGAACUUGGAAGGAUAAAUCUUGGAGCCUCUAGGAAACGGCCAGUGGCUGUAAAAUCAAAGGCGAGGAAGGAGACGUAACUCACCAUCGUCCUUCUUCCCAAAGAAGCCCCAGAUCUUCUCAGCUCGCUUCUCCGGGGUGUUUUCAUCAUCGGGGAGCUGCUUCGUGUCCUCAGGACUGGUCAUUUUGAAAAUCGCCUGCGCCGAAUCAAGGAGAAGAACUGGUCAGCAGGGCUCCCACGGCGCUGACAGGGACCCCCUGUGGCAGAGGUUGAAGUGCAGACGCCCAGGCCCCAGCUGCCCUGCUGAGCCCUCGUUCCUGGGAGGGGGCAGUGGGCAUCUGCACUUUGUCUUUUUAGGGCCACGCCCA